rnacentral:rRNA from 1 species
AUUGAACGCUGGCGGCAGGCCUAACACAUGCAAGUCGAGCGAGCGGCGGACGGGUGAGUAAUGUAUGGGGAUCUGCCCGAUAGAUGGGGAUAACUACUGGCAACGGUGGCUAAUACCGCAUACUAUCGGAUGAACCCCUAUGGGAUUAGCUAGUAGGUGGGGUAAAGGCUCACCUAGCCCACGAUCUCUAGCUGGUAUGAGAGGAUGAUCAGCCACACGGGGACUGAGACACGGCCCAGACUCGUACGGGAGGCAGCAGUGGGGAAUAGUGCACAAUGGGCGGAAGCCUGAUGCAGCGACGCCGCGUGGGGGAUGACUUCCUUCGGGUUGUAAACUCCUUUCACCAGCGACGCGGUAGAUGGAGAAGAAGCACCGGCGAACUACGUGCCAGCAGCCGCGGUAAUUC